rnacentral:RNase_P_RNA from 1 species
GCAUCGGAUUGGAGACGAUCCGAUGACAGACAGCGCAACAGAAAGCGAACCGCCGGUGCCGCAAGGUGUCGGUAAGGGUGAAAAGGUGGGGUAAGAGCCCACCGCGUCCGCGGCAACGCGGAUGGCACGGCAAGCCUCGUCGCGAGCAAGACCGAACAGCGGGUGCGCGGUUCGCGCAGCGCGGGCGCCUUCGGGCGUUCGCGAUCCCGCGGGUAGGUCGCGAAAAUGGAAGAGCGAUCUUCCAUCAAGAUGGAUGGCGGCCACCGCGCAAGCGGUACAGAACCCGGCUUACAGGUUCGUCCCUUUU